rnacentral:misc_RNA from 1 species
AUACAAAAUACUUUGCCAACAUUUUGAAAAACGCAAAAGCUGUACACGGAAAUGAUGCUGUUCUUAAGGCAUACAAUAUAGAAGGUGAUGUUCGUAUUCAGUAUAAAGACCAAUCAGACUUCGAACGCAUUGCACGCCAGUUUGGUAUUUUUGAAGAAUGGAAGGAUGGAGUACCAAGGACAGCAUAUAAAGGAAUAGUUGUUUUCCGAUAUCAUACACAAAGACGAAUUUUCCUUGUUGGUCCUGAUUCUUUGAGGCGGCUUGGGGUUGAAGAUGCUUGAUGCUAAAUGGAGGGUUUCUAGGGAUUUAUGAACUGGCGGAUUGACACAUUUGUGUGAAACGAGGAUUUGUUUAUACAUGGUUUAGUUAGUCAAGCAUGAUUACCUUGUGUAUAAUACCAUCAUGGAGCUGGAUGCAAUCAUCAUGUUUUUCUCGACACUUCCACCAAUUUAUUUGUCUCCCUUCUGCUAGUUAAUAUAUUGGAUGCUAAUUUUUGUACUUCUGAAAGUGGUUGCUGGUGGCUAGCUAGCGUUUGAUACACAUGUUUUCCCUGCAUAUUGACCACAAUUGCCUACGAAUUUUUGGUGUUUUGUACUUUAGUGUCUAGAAUUACUCUUUUUAUCUCUCGUG